rnacentral:rRNA from 1 species
GACGAACGCUGGCGGCGUGCCUAAUACAUGCAAGUAGAACGCUGAAGGAGGAGCUUGCUCUUCUGGAUGAGUUGCGAACGGGUGAGUAACGCGUAGGUAACCUGCCUGGUAGCGGGGGAUAACUAUUGGAAACGAUAGCUAAUACCGCAUAACAGUAGAUGUUGCAUGACAUUUACUUAAAAGGUGCAAUUGCAUCACUACAAGAUGGACCUGCGUUGUUUUAGCUAGUGGGUGGGGUAACGGCUCACCAAGGCGACGAUACAUAGCCGACCGGGAAGGGGUGACGGCCACACUGGGACUGGGACACGGCCCAGACUCCUACGGGAGGGAGCAGUAGGGAAUCUUCGGCCAAGGACGGAAGGCUGACCGAGCAACGCCGCGGGAGUGAAGAAGGGUUUCGGAUCGUAAAGCUCUGUUGUAAGAGAAGAACGAGUGUGAGAGUGGAAAGUUCACACUGUGACGGUAUCUUACCAGAAAGGGACGGCUAACUACGUG